UCUUCGGAGGCACCUGCACAGGUGCUGCAUGGCUGUCGUCAGCUCGUGUCGUGAGAUGUUGGGUUAAGUCCCGCAACGAGCGCAACCCUUAUCCCCAGUUGCCAUCAGGUAAAGCUGGGAACUCUGGGGAGACUGCCGGUGAUAAACCGGAGGAAGGCGGGGAUGACGUCAAGUCCUCAUGGCCUUUAUGACCAGGGCUACACACGUACUACAAUGGCCGGUACAAAGGGCAGCCACUUAGCGAUAAGGAGCCAAUCCCGUAAAGCCGGUCUCAGUCCGGAUUGGAGUCUGCAACUCGACUCCAUGAAGUUGGAAUCGCUAGUAAUCGCAGAUCAGCACGCUGCGGUGAAUACGUUCCCGGGCCUU
rnacentral:rRNA from 1 species